UGGCCUAGGGGGCGGCUUGUGGAGUGUAUGGGCUGAGCCUUGCUCUGCUCCCCCGCCCCCAG
ensembl:miRNA MIR6805 microRNA 6805